AGGGGGGCGCCAGAUCCUGGGCUGUGUCCCCCGGCGCCCUGGGCUCCGGGGCCUGCGCCGCUGGAAUCGCUCCCGGGCAGCGCAGCCCCCU
rnacentral:pre_miRNA from 1 species